UAUAUAUAUAUAUAUAUAUAUAUAUAUCUAAAUCGUAUUUGUAUCGAUAUGUAUGCGAGCGUUGUUCAGGGUCGAACACGAGAUCAGGCUGGCCGAACUGUAAGGAUUUCCGAAAAUUUGAAGACCAAAAUACAAAGCAUAUAGAUACGUGAUUGAUAAGUAGGAUUGAGGGGGAUGAGAAUCCGUGAAUUAGGCGAUGCGCUCCCUUUCGAGAGAGGGGGAUAAGAGAAUCGAGGCCUCGAGGUAACGCAGUGUUCGAGAGAGCGAGCGUUCUGUUGAGAGUGUCGACCAAGUCGGGUCACAGUUAAUAAAGCGAGAAAAUUUCUGAGAAAGGUCAAGUCGGACCAUCGGAGAUCCUUGAGCUGAGUUUACUCCAACGCCGUAUCAAAGCCAUUUGUCUGUUAAGCUAAAUAUAUUACUUUGCAUUUCAAACACGAGAAAACUGAUUAGCAACCAGAUCAUAUCCCGGACAAGACCAUCCUUACAAUAUAAAAUUUUGUAAACCCUCAAAUUGUUCUAUUUGAUAAACAAUCGUAUGACAUUAUGUAUUUAUGUGUUUCUUGCUGGAAAAAAUGCAUAAGGCUGGAAUCUACAAUAAAUGUAGUAAACCUUAAGCAGUAAGAAAUUAAAUUGCAAAUGCCUCGUUGCUAGUUGACAGUUGCGGGUUAAUCAAUCAGAUCAAAUUUUCCAUUCUGAUGAAAUGCAGUGCCACGAUGGAAAUAGAUGAUGCAACGUGCAGCUGCGCAUGCGCAGUUAUUUUCACGUGGGACAAAAUAUACUUGUCCCAUUCUAACUUAUUGCACCAGUGUGCACUAGUUCAUUAGUGCAGGAGCAGAAAACCAGCCUAAUAUGGAGUUUGUUUUUUAUUACUGCACUGGUGAACUAGUGCAAUAAAUUAAAAUGAGACAAGUAUAUUUGGUUAUAGAAUGACUCACACUGUGAAGAAGGUCCGUAAAAUUUUCCAAAAACUUUCCACGUUGCAGAAAGACAAAAAUUAAGAAGACUGUAUUCGUGAAGACGAACGGAUCAACAUCUAUUGGCGAACGAACUUCGAAACGAAGUUGGAAGAGCGCGGAAUCCUAAUAACAAGCAAGAUGAUAUGAGAACAAUUAAAAGAAGACAACAUCAGUAAUGAAGCAGCUGAACAUAUAGAUUUGCUAACCAGUACAGAAGUAAAAGACGGAUUGCGUAAUCUUAAUUUGAAGAUUUUAGAAAAACUCUAAAUAGCAGACAAAUUCACAAGAAUCUGAGCAAAAGAAACAUCGGAAAUAUCGAGAAGAUAUUAGAAUACUGAAAAAUCAGACGUAGGACUAAAAGUCAAGAUCCAGUACAUAAUACAUCAUAAAUAGGAUCCAAAAUGACAGACGGAAUUCGAUAAUCUACAAUCUACAUUGUUAAUUAAUCACUGCUAAUUCACCCUGCCGCGGAUGUUUUCCAGUGUCAUGAUUGGAGAUGCAGCUAACCAGGAUAUUGCUAACUCAGUUCAAGAUACGCUCAGACUCGAGGGAUUACCGUCGUCCCUAGACGUUCCUCAAUCAAGGAAAAAAAGGACCCUCAUCAAACUCGGUCGAAAACAAGCGAUGCUUCUUCACACCGUUACAAGAGACGAUUUCGCUCGGUCGUCCACCUCGUUAGAUCGACGAAGAAAAUGCGAAGGCAGGAGGCGUAGGCAUUUGUUUUUCGGCAUCUUCCUGCCACGCGAAGAUAAGCCAUUGCUGAGAAAUGGCUAACCUAUCUUGGGCAUACUGUGAUCAAAGGAACUGGACGAAGAUGCUGAUGAUAAACCAGAAGAGACCCAAAGUUUAACGUAAACGUGAUCGAAAGAUGCUACAAUGUGAGGAGGAGGAGGAGAGAUUCCACAGAACGGAGCUUCCCCGAUAGAGUGAUAAUAAUGGUGAGAAGCAGCAGUUGUUCCCAGCAUAUAUUUUCCAAAUGGCUCAUGUAGCCUUUAAGUUCGCUCUGUCGCUCGGCGAGCGGAGACUGGUGCGACCUGGACAAGGUGCGGCGCGACCUAGAGCGUCUGGAUUUUUAUAAAAACGGGCCAAACUGCCUCCUGGGCGACGUCCAGCUACAGAUCCAGAGAAGACGGGUGAACGUAUACACAUGCGUACGCGCGUGUAUAGCAGCAUCACUGCGUGCUUGCGCGCGAGGAAUCGGUCGUCGGAGUCGGAUGGACCUGGUUCCCGUCCUCGGCCGAUCUCUUCGGGGUCCCUCCGGCGGGCGCAGCGCGAGAAAUUUCGCGAUUCACGCGCGCGACAACAAAGGCAGACACGGCCGUAAAUUACUAGAAUAGCUGGCAGCCAUUUUGAAAUGCCACAUUCUUAUAUACGCGCGCAGCCAGUAACAACAGCAGGCGGCUUGACACUUUUUUUUUCUUCCUCUUCUUCGUCGUCUAUCGACGGCCCGAGUUCAGCAGAGAGAUUGGAUUUUUUUGCGCAGAUCAGCGAAAGAAAUUCCACCUUUAUUCCAUCCUCGCCGAUAUUAAUUAAUCGCGAAUUGCGAAGCCUUAAGUGCGAUUAUUGCAUUUCGCUCACACAUAUAUCAUUCUAUAUAUGUGUGUGAGUGCACGUAAGUGUUUAUAAUGUAUGUAUACAGAAAUGUGUAUGGGGACAGAAAUGCCUUAACAUAAAUUUAGACGCAUGUUAAGAUGUAUAUAUACAUACACACGUACACACAUAUAUAUAUACACAUAUAUAUAAUGUGCAGAAAUUUGUGUUGAGAUAUUUCUGUGGCUCUCGUAAAUCGGUUUCAUGAGAAUAUAAGUUCUUUUCGAUUUUUUCGCGCGACGAGUGCAAUGAUUGGCGCUUCUUUCUUGCUCUCCUUGCUAAAAGGGAAAGAGAGAGAGAAAGAGAAAGAAAUUGCUUUCCAUUUACACCAUAGACCUAUAUAUAUACGUAUAUAGGGUGUCCAGUAAUAAUCGCUAUCGCCUCUCAUGUUGCGGAUUGAGUUGGGAAAUCCUCUAUUAUUUCGCGAUUUUCGCUAUAAUUAAUGAGAAAUUAAAUAAUUUUUUAAAAAAUAAUGAA